GACGAACGCUGGCGGCGUGCUUAACACAUGCAAGUCGAACGGUAAGGCCCUUCGGGGUACACGAGUGGCGAACGGGUGAGUAACACGUGGGUGAUCUGCCCUGCACUUCGGGAUAAGCCUGGGAAACUGGGUCUAAUACCGGAUAGGACCACUGCCUGCAUGGGUGGUGGUGGAAAGCUUUUGCGGUGUGGGAUGGGCCCGCGGCCUAUCAGCUUGUUGGUGGGGUGAUGGCCUACCAAGGCGACGACGGGUAGCCGGCCUGAGAGGGUGACCGGCAACACUGGGACGGAGAUACGGCCGAGACUCCUCCGGGGGGCAGCAGUGGGGAAUAUUGCACAAUGGGCGCAAGCCUGAUGCAGCGACGCCGCGUGAGGGAUGACGGCCUUCGGGUUGUAAACCUCUUUCAGCACCGACGAAGCGCAAGUGACGGUAGGUGCAGAAGAAGGACCGGCCAACUACGUGCAGCCGCCGCAGUAA
rnacentral:rRNA from 1 species